GACGAACGCUGGCGGCGUGCUUAACACAUGCAAGUCGAACGGUGACGGGGAGCUUGCUCCCCUGAUCAGUGGCGAACGGGUGAGUAACACGUGGGCAACCUGCCCCAGACUUCGGGAUAACGCUUCGAAAGAGGUGCUAAUACCGAAUACGAGUCCCCCUGGCAUCUAGGGGACUGGAAAGUUCUUCGGUCUGGGAUGGGCCCGCGGCCUAUCAGCCUGUUGGUGAGGUAACGGCUCACCAAGGCGACGACGGGUAGCCGGCCUGAGAGGGCGACCGGCCACACUGGGACUGAGACACGGCCCAGACUCCUACGGGAGGCAGCAGUGGGGAAUAUUGCGCAAUGGGCGAAAGCCUGACGCAGCAACGCCGCGUGAGGGAUGACGGCCUUCGGGUUGUAAACCUCUUUCGGCAGGGAAGAAGCGAAAGUGACGGUACCUGCAGAAGAAGCACCGGCUAACUACGUGCCAGCAGCCGCGGUAACAC
rnacentral:rRNA from 1 species